GGAAUUUUCCGCAAUGGGCGAAAGCCUGACGGAGCAACGCCGCGUGAGGGAUGAAGGCCUCUGGGCUGUAAACCUCUUUUCUCAAGGAAGAAGAUCUGACGGUACUUGAGGAAUAAGCCACGGCUAAUUCCGUGCCAGCAGCCGCGGUAAUACGGGAGUGGCAAGCGUUAUCCGGAAUUAUUGGGCGUAAAGCGUCCGCAGGCGGCCUUGUAAGUCUGUCGUUAAAGCGUGGAGCUUAACUCCAUUUCAGCGAUGGAAACUACAAGGCUUGAGUGUGGUAGGGGCAGAGGGAAUUCCCGGUGUAGCGGUGAAAUGCGUAGAUAUCGGGAAGAACACCAGUGGCGAAGGCGCUCUGCUGGGCCAUAACUGACGCUCAUGGACGAAAGCCAGGGGAGCGAAAGGGAUUAGAUACCCCAGUAGUC
rnacentral:rRNA from 1 species